UUUUAACUAUUUGGGUGUCCUAUUAUAUGUAAUGUUGUUAAAUUGGUUACAUAUAUUUAUAUCAUGGACAACAUUCUAUUGUAUUAAAUAAUCCUUUAAUCAACUUGGUAUGAAAAUUGAAAAUUGAUCGAAAGCAUGCUGAAGUUGUUUGAAUUCAGAAAUUGAAAGAGUACAAAAUUGGUUGAAAGAUUAAAUUAAAUAACAGAGAUGCAAAAUGUUAUUCUCAAGGAGCUUGCAAAAAUAAAAGUUCUUUUAAAAAAAGUUAUAGAAAUUAAGUUUCAGGCUACUGGGGUGAAGUUGCUAGAAUCAGUGGACGAAGUGGUUACACUGGAUAAUAAACUAAAAGAUA